rnacentral:rRNA from 1 species
AUUGAACGCUGGCGGCAGGCCUAACACAUGCAAGUCGAGCGGAUGACAGGAGCUUGCUCCUUGAUUCAGCGGCGGACGGGUGAGUGAUGCCUAGGAAUCUGCCUGGUAGUGGGGGACAACGUUUCGAAAGGAACGCUAAUACCGCAUACGUCCUACGGGAGAAAGCAGGGGACCUUCGGGCCUUGCGCUAUCAGAUGAGCCUAGGUCGGAUUAGCUAGUAGGUGAGGUAAUGGCUCACCUAGGCGACGAUCCGUAACUGGUCUGAGAGGAUGAUCAGUCACACUGGAACUGAGACACGGUCCAGACUCCUACGGGAGGCAGAAGUGGGGAAUAUUGGACAAUGGGCGAAAGCCUGAUCCAGCCAUGCCGCGUGUGUGAAGAAGGUCUUCGGAUUGUAAAGCACUUUAAGUUGGGAGGAAGGGCAGUAAGUUAAUACCUUGCUGUUUUGACGUUACCGACAGAAUAAGCACCGGCUAACUCUGUGCCAGCCGCCGCAGUAACAC